GAUGAACGCUGGCGGCGUGCCUAAUACAUGCAAGUCGAGCGAACGGACGAGAAGCUUGCUUCUCUGAUGUUAGCGGCGGACGGGUGAGUAACACGUGGAUAACCUACCUAUAAGACUGGGAUAACUUCGGGAAACCGGAGCUAAUACCGGAUAAUAUUUUGAACCGCAUGGUUCAAAAGUGAAAGACGGUCUUGCUGUCACUUAUAGAUGGAUCCGCGCUGCAUUAGCUAGUUGGUAAGGUAACGGCUUACCAAGGCAACGAUGCAUAGCCGACCUGAGAGGGUGAUCGGCCACACUGGAACUGAGACACGGUCCAGACUCCUACGGGAGGCAGCAGUAGGGAAUCUUCCGCAAUGGGCGAAAGCCUGACGGAGCAACGCCGCGUGAGUGAUGAAGGUCUUCGGAUCGUAAAACUCUGUUAUUAGGGAAGAACAUAUGUGUAAGUAACUGUGCACAUCUUGACGGUACCUAAUCAGAAAGCCACGGCUAACUACGUGCCAGCAGCCGCGGUAAUACGUAGGUGGCAAGCGUUAUCCGGAAUUAUUGGGCGUAAAGCGCGCGUAGGCGGUUUUUUAAGUCUGAUGUGAAAGCCCACGGCUCAACCGUGGAGGGUCAUUGGAAACUGGAAAACUUGAGUGCAGAAGAGGAAAGUGGAAUUCCAUGUGUAGCGGUGAAAUGCGUAGAGAUAUGGAGGAACACCAGUGGCGAAGGCGACUUUCUGGUCUGUAACUGACGCUGAUGUGCGAAAGCGUGGGGAUCAAACAGGAUUAGAUACCCUGGUAGUCCACGCCGUAAACGAUGAGUGCUAAGUGUUAGGGGGUUUCCGCCCCUUAGUGCUGCAGCUAACGCAUUAAGCACUCCGCCUGGGGAGUACGACCGCAAGGUUGAAACUCAAAGGAAUUGACGGGGACCCGCACAAGCGGUGGAGCAUGUGGUUUAAUUCGAAGCAACGCGAAGAACCUUACCAAAUCUUGACAUCCUUUGACAACUCUAGAGAUAGAGCUUUCCCCUUCGGGGGGCAAAGUGACAGGUGGUGCAUGGUUGUCGUCAGCUCGUGUCGUGAGAUGUUGGGUUAAGUCCCGCAACGAGCGCAACCCUUAAGCUUAGUUGCCAUCAUUAAGUUGGGCACUCUAAGUUGACUGCCGGUGACAAACCGGAGGAAGGUGGGGAUGACGUCAAAUCAUCAUGCCCCUUAUGAUUUGGGCUACACACGUGCUACAAUGGACAAUACAAAGGGCAGCGAAACCGCGAGGUCAAGCAAAUCCCAUAAAGUUGUUCUCAGUUCGGAUUGUAGUCUGCAACUCGACUACAUGAAGCUGGAAUCGCUAGUAAUCGUAGAUCAGCAUGCUACGGUGAAUACGUUCCCGGGUCU
rnacentral:rRNA from 1 species